GGGGGUGACCGGUUUCGACUUCGGCAUUGCAAGUCAGGGGAAGCGGGUCGGGGACUGCGGACAUAACCCCGUCAACACUGUGACCGCACACCAAUAAGUGCCAAUAACACGCGCACUGAGGUGAGCCAGGGUUCCCUGGCUCUCGCUGCCUAAGAUCAGCGAAUAACCUCUGUCAGCCCGGGAGUGCCUCCGGCCCGGAGCUGGCAUCGCUAGGAGGCUCAACCGUUCGACCCGGUCACGGGGACGAUCGGGAAACCAAACAGUGACUGGGCCCGUCGGCGACUCGCCUGUGAGAUUGCCGGGGCCGAGAAAAUCGCUACAGGCUGCACCCGGAGAAGCCCUUUCUUGGUGUUGAAGGACGCGGGUUCGAUUCCCGCCACCUCCACUC
rnacentral:tmRNA from 1 species